rnacentral:rRNA from 1 species
GCGGAGGCAGCAGUGGGGAAUCUUAGACAAUGGGGGAAACCCUGAUCUAGCCAUGCCGCGUGAUCGAUGAAGGCCUUAGGGUUGUAAAGAUCUUUCAGUGGGGAAGGUAAUGACGGUACCCACAGAAGAAGCCCCGGCUAACUCCGUGCCAGCAGCCGCGGUAAUACGGAGGGGGCUAGCGUUGUUCGGAAUUACUGGGCGUAAAGCGCACGUAGGCGGACCGGAAAGUCAGAGGUGAAAUCCCAGGGCUCAACCUUGGAACUGCCUUUGAAACUCCUGGUCUUGAGGUCGAGAGAGGUGAGUGGAAUUCCGAGUGUAGAGGUGAAAUUCGUAGAUAUUCGGAGGAACACCAGUGGCGAAGGCGGCUCACUGGCUCGAUACUGACGCUGAGGUGCGAAAGCGUGGGGAGCAAACAGGAUUAGAUACCCCCGUA